UAGGGAAUCUUCUGCAAUGGGGGCAACCCUGACCGAGCAACGCCGCGUGAGUGAAGAAGGUUUUCGGAUCGUAAAGCUCUGUUGUAAGAGAAGAACGUGUGUGAGAGUGGAAAGUUCACACAGUGACGGUAACUUACCAGAAAGGGACGGCUAACUACGUGCCAGCAGCCGCGGUAAUACGUAGGUCCCGAGCGUUGUCCGGAUUUAUUGGGCGUAAAGCGAGCGCAGGCGGUUUGAUAAGUCUGAAGUUAAAGGCAGUGGCUUAACCAUUGUUCGCUUUGGAAACUGUUAGACUUGAGUGCAGAAGGGGAGAGUGGAAUUCCAUGUGUAGCGGUGAAAUGCGUAGAUAUAUGGAGGAACACCGGUGGCGAAGGCGGCUCUCUGGUCUGUAACUGACGCUGAGGCUCGAAAGCGUGGGGAGCAAACAGG
rnacentral:rRNA from 1 species